CUCACAGAGCAACCAAACAACGUCGGAAGAAAUCCGAACCGAAACCGCGUUCUUUCGGCGAAUUUCGCCGCAAAACGCAUUGAAAUCGACUCUUCGAUUUCCGUAAAAGCUAAUGGAUCAUGGACAAUCAGUCCAGAGGUCACCACACACGUCUACACACUGUCCACAGUAGCCCCAAGGCGCACAAUUGCACAAAAGCCCCUGAAUUUACAUAAAAUCCCAAUAUUUUA
rnacentral:lncRNA from 1 species